UACAGAGGUGGCAAGCGUUGUUCGGAAUUACUGGGCGUAAAGGGCGCGUAGGCGGUUCGUUAAGUCCUGGGUGAAAUCCCCCGGCUCAACUGGGGAACUGCACAGGAAACUAGCGGGCUUGAGUUCGGGAGAGGGAAGCGGAAUUCCGGGUGUAGAGGUGAAAUGCGUAGAUAUCCGGAGGAACACCGGUGGCGAAGGCGGCUUCCUGGACCGACACUGACGCUGAGGCGCGAAAGCUAGGGGAGCAAACGGG
rnacentral:rRNA from 1 species